UUUGCCCCGCUGUCUUCUCGCAGUGACCAUGAUGCCAGCGCAUCUUUCAGUCCUUGCGCAAUGAUGUCGCCAGUGUGGUCUUCUGGGAAGUAGGAUAUUUGAGAACAGAAGCUUUGCAGUUGCCGGUGUUCGUCAAUGAAAUGCACCGUCAGGGAGAGGGAGAUGAUGCACCUUAAACCCCAGAUAUCAGUCCCCCAGCCGAGACAUGCUCUCAAAUACCCUCAUACCUGCAUGGUAUGCAGUUGAAAAAGAAAAUGUCAAGAAAGAGUUGCAAGAUGUGAGGGAUGUGGCUGUGACUGCUGAUGGCUGGACCAGCAUUGCACAGGACCACUACCUGACAGUGUCAGUUCACUAUGUGAGAGAGGAUUCCAUGAAAGAGAAGGUCCUACAUACAAGGUCUUCCAGAACAUGCGGUCAUCCUUGAUGUGAAAACAAGGUGGAAUAGCUUAUUCCUCAUGGUGGAGCGAUUCCUGGAGCAGUUCCCUGCCAUCCAGGCCACCUCCAGUUCUUAUUCUAAAUGCCAUUUUCAGUGUGAAGGAUUUUGCUCAUGAAUCUAUAGUCCAGCUAAAGAAUGUGAUUAUAUUUUACAGACUGCAGUGAGUUUCUGAUGAGGAUUUUAGAAAAGCAGAAGAGUUUGUCAAAGUUACAAAGAUACUUUACACUUCAACCCUCUGCGUCUCUGCUGAAAGGAGCCCAACUUUGGGUCAGAUUCUUAACUAAACUCCAGCACCACUUCACAGUGAAUAAAGAGGACUCCUCCUUCACAAAGACCAUCAAGGACACUAUCUGGAAUGACCUCUCAAAAAGAUACCAGGAUGGCAAUAUCAGACAGUUUUUGGAGGAGGGCACAGCCUUAGAUCCCAGAUUCAAGUUAAAAGUGACAAAUGAAGUGUGGACCAGACUGGAGGAGGAGCUAAUGAAAAGGACCUCAGAACAGACUCCGACUGAGCAGAUAGAACAGGCACUUGAAGAGAGAGCAGGUAACCAAGAUGACAGCUCUGAUGAAGACAGUGCAUCUGCAACAACAGCACUGAAGAGGCCAAAGCUUUCUGCCCUUGAGGAGCUGUGGAGGACAUGGCUGUUGAAGCAAGAAUGCAGACCACUGUCAGCAGCACUACAGAGAGGAUUCAGGCAGAGAUAAACAAGUACAGACUGCUUCCAUCUACACUGUCCUCAGCAAGUCCAGUAACCUGGUGGUGGGACAUGAAGGAUACUCUGCCAAUGCUUUCAGAAUUGGCAUCA